GGAGGGGUGGCCGAGCGGUUUAAGGCGACGGUCUUGAAAACCGUUGUAGGGUAAUACUCUACCGUGAGUUCGAAUCUCACCCCCUCCGCCA
rnacentral:tRNA from 1 species